rnacentral:rRNA from 1 species
ACGAACGCUGGCGGCGUGCCUAAUACAUGCAAGUCGAACGCUUCUUUUUCCACCGGAGCUUGCUCCACCGGAAAAAGAGGAGUGGCGAACGGGUGAGUAACACGUGGGUAACCUGCCCAUCAGAAGGGGAUAACACUUGGAAACAGGUGCUAAUACCGUAUAACAAUCGAAACCGCAUGGUUUUGAUUUGAAAGGCGCUUUCGGGUGUCGCUGAUGGAUGGACCCGCGGUGCAUUAGCUAGUUGGUGAGGUAACGGCUCACCAAGGCGACGAUGCAUAGCCGACCUGAGAGGGUGAUCGGCCACAUUGGGACUGAGACACGGCCCAAACUCCUACGGGAGGCAGCAGUAGGGAAUCUUCGGCAAUGGACGAAAGUCUGACCGAGCAACGCCGCGUGAGUGAAGAAGGUUUUCGGAUCGUAAAACUCUGUUGUUAGAGAAGAACAAGGAUGAGAGUAACUGUUCAUCCCUUGACGGUAUCUAACCAGAAAGCCACGGCUAACUACGUGCCAGCAGCCGCGGUAAUACGUAGGUGGCAAGCGUUGUCCGGAUUUAUUGGGCGUAAAGCGAGCGCAGGCGGUUUCUUAAGUCUGAUGUGAAAGCCCCCGGCUCAACCGGGGAGGGUCAUUGGAAACUGGGAGACUUGAGUGCAGAAGAGGAGAGUGGAAUUCCAUGUGUAGCGGUGAAAUGCGUAGAUAUAUGGAGGAACACCAGUGGCGAAGGCGGCUCUCUGGUCUGUAACUGACGCUGAGGCUCGAAAGCGUGGGGAGCAAACAGGAUUAGAUACCCUGGUAGUCCACGCCGUAAACGAUGAGUGCUAAGUGUUGGAGGGUUUCCGCCCUUCAGUGCUGCAGCUAACGCAUUAAGCACUCCGCCUGGGGAGUACGACCGCAAGGUUGAAACUCAAAGGAAUUGACGGGGGCCCGCACAAGCGGUGGAGCAUGUGGUUUAAUUCGAAGCAACGCGAAGAACCUUACCAGGUCUUGACAUCCUUUGACCACUCUAGAGAUAGAGCUUCCCCUUCGGGGGCAAAGUGACAGGUGGUGCAUGGUUGUCGUCAGCUCGUGUCGUGAGAUGUUGGGUUAAGUCCCGCAACGAGCGCAACCCCUAUUGUUAGUUGCCAUCAUUCAGUUGGGCACUCUAGCGAGACUGCCGGUAAUAAACCGGAGGAAGGUGGGGAUGACGUCAAAUCAUCAUGCCCCUUAUGACCUGGGCUACACACGUGCUACAAUGGGAAGUACAACGAGUCGCAAAGUCGCGAGGCUAAGCUAAUCUCUUAAAGCUUCUCUCAGUUCGGAUUGUAGGCUGCAACUCGCCUACAUGAAGCCGGAAUCGCUAGUAAUCGCGGAUCAGCACGCCGCGGUGAAUACGUUCCCUGGCCUUGUACACACCGCCCGUCACACCACGAGAGUUUGUAACACCCGAAGUCGGUGAGGUAACCUUUUGGAGCCAGCCGCCUAAGGUGGGAUAGAUGAUUGGGGUG